rnacentral:piRNA from 1 species
GAGGGAUGCCCGUACUAAAGGGAAAGUCAC